rnacentral:rRNA from 1 species
UACAGAGGGGGCAAGCGUUGUUCGGAAUUACUGGGCGUAAAGGGCGCGUAGGCGGCCUGCUAAGUCGAACGUGAAAUCCCCGGGCUCAACCCGGGAACUGCGUCCGAUACUGGUUGGCUUGAAUCCGGGAGAGGGAUGCGGAAUUCCAGGUGUAGCGGUGAAAUGCGUAGAGAUCGGGAGGAACACCGGCGGCGAAGGCGGCUGCCUGGACCAGUCCUGACGCUGAGGCGCGAAAGCUAGGGGAGCAAACAGG